AUACGUAGGUGGCGAGCGUUGUCCGGAAUUACUGGGCGUAAAGGGCGUGUAGGCGGGGAAGAAAGUCGGAAGUGAAAUCCCACGGCUUAACUGUGGAGCUGCUUCUGAAACUUCUUUUCUUGAGUGCUGGAGAGGAAAGUGGAAUUCCCAGUGUAGCGGUGAAAUGCGUAGAGAUUGGGAGGAACACCAGUGGCGAAGGCGGCUUUCUGGACAGUAACUGACGCUGAGGCGCGAAAGCGUGGGGAGCAAACAGGAUUAGAUACCCUGGUAGUCCACGCUGUAAACGAUGGAUACUAGGUGUAGGAGGUAUCGACCCCUUCUGUGCCGGAGUUAACACAAUAAGUAUCCCGCCUGGGGAGUACGGCCGCAAGGUUGAA
rnacentral:rRNA from 1 species